rnacentral:lncRNA from 1 species
UUCAUAAUAAAUAGCCCUUUUAUCUGAAAAUUCGAAUCUCGCGAAUUUUUAUAGGAAAUUCAAUUCUCUACAACUUUGCAGAAGGAAGUUUUUCCAAAUUCCAAACAGAAAUUGUCCGAAAUCCAUAAAUGAGCGAUUUUACAGUCUAUAAUCAAUUUUCGGUCAAGAAUUGUGUCCACCGACACACAAAACAUGUGUUAAACAUUUAAUACCACAAA